GACGAACGCUGGCGGCGUGCUUAACACAUGCAAGUCGAACGGAAAGGCCCUGCUUUUGUGGGGUGCUCGAGUGGCGAACGGGUGAGUAACACGUGAGUAACCUGCCCGUGACUUUGGGAUAACUUCAGGAAACUGGGGCUAAUACCGGAUAGGAGCUCCUGCUGCAUGGUGGGGGUUGGAAAGUUUCGGCGGUUGGGGAUGGACUCGCGGCUUAUCAGCUUGUUGGUGGGGUAGUGGCUUACCAAGGCUUUGACGGGUAGCCGGCCUGAGAGGGUGACCGGCCACAUUGGGACUGAGAUACGGCCCAGACUCCUACGGGAGGCAGCAGUGGGGAAUAUUGCACAAUGGGCGGAAGCCUGAUGCAGCAACGCUGCGUGCGGGAUGACGGCCUUCGGGUUGUAAACCGCUUUCGCCUGUGACGAAGCGUGAGUGACGGUAAUGGGUAAAGAAGCACCGGCUAACUACGUG
rnacentral:rRNA from 1 species